rnacentral:rRNA from 1 species
AUUGAACGCUGGCGGCAUGCUUUACACAUGCAAGUCGAACGGCAGCGCGGGGGCAACCCUGGCGGCGAGUGGCGAACGGGUGAGUAAUGUAUCGGAACGUAUCCUGUAAUGGGGGAUAACCAGUCGAAAGAUUGGGUAAUACCGCAUACGCACGAGAGUGGAAAGUAGGGGAUCGCAAGACCUUACGUUAUAGGAGCGGCCGAUAUCUGAUUAGCUAGUUGGUGGGGUAAAGGCCUACCAAGGCGACGAUCAGUAGCUGGUCUGAGAGGAUGAUCAGCCACACUGGGACUGAGACACGGCCCAGACUCCUACGGGAGGCAGCAGUGGGGAAUUUUGGACAAUGGGCGAAAGCCUGAUCCAGCCAUGCCGCGUGCGGGAAGAAGGCCUCGGUUGU